rnacentral:rRNA from 1 species
GGAAAGACCCCGUGCACCUUUACUACAACUUCGCAUUGGCAUCAGGAUUGUGAUGUGCAGGAUAGGUGGUAGGCUUUGAACCCGUGACGCCAGUCGCGGUGGAGCCUCCCUUGAGAUACCACCCUUGUUCUGCUUGAUGUCUAACCGCGGUCCGUUAUCCGGAUCCGGGACCCUGCGUGGUGGGUAGUUUGACUGGGAUGGUCGCCUCCAAAAGAG